GUUUUUAUAAUCUUAAUUAUUAGACAUUUAAUUUCUUCAAUAAGUAAAAUGAAUUCCAUGAUUGCUGUAUGUGAAGAUUGAAUUUACGAAUCCUCUGAAGAAAAGUAAAGAUUAUAUUAGCAUUCACUUAAAAUUUAGUAUUAAAUAACUUAUAUACUCUAAUAUGUAAUGACAAUUUUAACUUUAAAAGGUCUAAAAAAAAAUUUAAAAAAAAAUACUAAAUACACCCUAAAAUCUCUUUUAACAUGUAUAUCACAAGAUUAUUUAUCCUCUUCAACUCUAAACCACUCUCAUUCUCUAUUGUGGAAUAAAAGCCUAACCAAUCAAACUACAAACAAAUUGAUUGAGAAAAAUUGUUUUUGACGAAUAGAACUUGAAAUUGAUAUUUCAGAAGCUUCACCUUGUUCAAAAUGUACCGUCACAAAUGAAUGAAGGUUAAACUUCAUUGGUGUCAAAUUAUAGUCCUCGCCUUCUUUCGCAAUGUAGACAAUGGUGAUGCUAUUUCACAAAGCCAUGUUAUAAAAACAACAUGAUGAUCAGAUAAUACUAAAUUGCUUAUUUGCCUUCAAGAGACAUUUUUUUCAUUUACAGCAUGGUGUUUGAAUAUGCUAUGUGGUGCAUAAAAUAUCAUUUAGUGUGCCAAGGACAAUACUUUAUACUGUUGAACUUAACUACCAAAUGGACAUAGAGAGCCUAAAGGUCCUUGCAUCAUCAUCUUAUAUUUCCUAAAUUAUCAUUUUUGAGAUACACCCCCCACUGAUCAAUGUUGAUUAGAUGGAAAAAAGUUGAGCUGCUAUACAAUAAUUUAAGAAAAAAAAAAUCAAACAGAUUGCUCUCACCAUCUAUGCUCUUAACCCUCUCAAUUGUGUCGAAACUUUUGCCCUUUCACUUUUGUAACGAUCCACAAGCAACUUCCGCUUUUCUAUAUUUGAGUGACAUGAAUGCUUUUGUAUCAAACAGUACAUAGCACAGACAACAAAACAAGUGAACAGAAUCAUUGUGAAGAGUGUGAGAUGUAUAGAGAAAAUGUAAAGGUGUAUGUUGAAAGUGUGAGAUGUGAGGGUAUUAUGAAAAAGUAUAUGGAGUGUAUUAACAAAAAUUUUAAUUGAAAAAGCAAAUGUGGGGUGGAUUCAACAAUGUUUUGGGUGUUAAUAUAAUAAACUUUAUAUUUGAGGUAUAAAGUAUGUGGAAAAUAAAUAAAUAAAUAAGCAAGCGUAGAAGCACUAGACCGAAUUUUUAAACUAAAUUUGUAAACCAAAUAAUGUGUUACCAAUAAUAAAUAAGUACAUUAAUCGACAUUUAAUUAAUAAUCCAAUCAUUUAUAGUCAAAUCAUUUGAUUUACAAAUUUGAUUUAAAAAUUUUGAUU
rnacentral:lncRNA from 1 species